UUUGGGCGACCCAACUGCAUGUCCAUUACCCGGCCACGGCGUAAACCCAAUCGCUGCUGGCUCCCCUGACGU
rnacentral:sRNA from 1 species